ACCAAUUUAACAACGCACUUGCUCGAUUACUUACAGCAGGUGGACGUUUUAUGCCGUCAUUUGCUGAGUUUCGCACCUGGUGUAUUGGUGAAAGUUGGAUGUCUCCAGAGGAAGCUUGGUCACGUGCAUGUAAGUUUACGACUGACAGUACCGUGGUUAUUACACAAAUUACAAAAUAUGCAUUAGACGAAGUGAUGUAUUUGAUCGAAGCCGGCCAAAUGCGAGCAGCUCAAGAUAAUUUCUUCGGAACCUAUAACGUGAUGGUGGCUAAAGCUCAAUUGAAAGGUCGUCAGCAAGAGUUUUACGCUCCACCGCUACAACUAGAACACAAAGAACCUAAACACGUUCCUGUGAGCAAUGACGAGGCUCAAAAGCAUCUCAAAUCAUUGAUGGAAAGAUUAAAAAUCAAUGGUCGUAAACCUGCACCAGUUCAAAAACUUGAGGCAAAAGAAAAAGAGCCUGAGCUUGCAAAAGAAUUAGGUCCAGAUCCUUUCGACAAUCCGCACGAAUACGCUGAGAUGUGCCGCCGUGAAGGUAUGCCAAUACCUAGAAAUAUUCUUCAGCUAAUUGAUGGGGCGAAUGCAUGAAAGCAUCUAAAUUGAUUAGAGAUAAAGGACUGCAAUACGCGAAGGAAAUCGUAGAUUCAGCACCCGAUAACGCAACUGAAUGGAACGAGGGUUAUGAGUUCCAAUGUGGUCAAAGUGUAGAAAUCAGCCCAGCAGAUCGUGAGAAGUAUUUUGUAGAUUUGGUUGAGCUUAAACGUCUGGUGGAGUCUUUGAAAAUCAUCAGCGAUUUAGGUGGAGUUGAGAAGCUAACGCCUGCAUUCAUUACGACAGAUAAGCAUGUUGGUUACACGCAUGUUCGCAUGGUGGGAAAUGGGAGAUUGAGCUUUCUUGAUGAUUUUUGCGACUUCAUUCCAGAUGGUUCCAUUUCAAUUAAGCGUGUGAUGACUGCUAUCCGCGACCACGAAUCAAUAUACGGAGGCGGUGAAUCUCAUGCCAACUAGAUAUAACACAGGCGAGUAUAGCUACGAUCUUGAAUAUCACUAUGGAGAUAUGUCAGCAAGCAUGGAGAUGCUUAGAGCACGUUUAAUUGAAUUGUUGACUCCUCAUCUGUCUGGCCGUUAUGUGAAAUGGAGAGAAGCAUAUUUCACAUGGUUUACAAAGUGCGGCGGGGGUUCGGGGGGGAUGUUUUGUGUAGGUCCACACGAAUUUCAUAUUGAUGGGGCGUUAAGGCGCUAUUACUCAGGUUCUAUUGAUAUUACCUACAACCAGAAAGAUCGAUAUUUCUUGGUGGGUGAGAAAAAGAAAGUCAAAUGUAAGGCUUGUAAGGGGUUUGGCUUCAUUCGAGAUGAUGGGUGGGGGCAUAUAGAUAAAUGUGAAAUGUGUGAUGCAGAAAAAGGAGCCAGCCAUGAGUGAGUUUGAGGGUAAAUCUGGAAAGUGGGCUUGGGAGAUUCAAAAAGAACAACAAGCGAAAGUGGAGGAGCUGCAAAAGCGUUUAGAUGGGGCAUUAAAAGAGACUCAAUAUGCUUUGCAGUAUGUUGAAGAAGACAUGCGCGGCAAUCAUGAAUUUCUACAAAUGGCAAUGAUUCGAACCCUUAAAGCUAUAGAGCAAGUGCUCAAAGGUGGUGCUUGAUGUCAUCAGUCAGCAUUGCUGAAUACCGCAAGUUAUUUCCCAUAAAGAAAAAUAAAAAGCGCCGUUCAGCAAAGCAAGUUGCCAGACAACCAAGUGUGGGUGAAGUGGUUCUGGCAACGCAUUUAAGAGCAUGCAAGAUUGG
rnacentral:rRNA from 1 species